GGUUGAUCCUGCCAGUAGUCGUAUGCUUGUCUCAAAGAUUAAGCCAUGCAUGUCUAAGUACACACUUUGGUAAAGUGAAACCGCGAAUGGCUCAUUAAAUCAGCUACAAUUUAUUAGAUCGUACACUGUUACUUGGAUAACUGUGGGAAUUCUAGAGCUAAUACAUGCCGAGAGUCUCUGCUCUUCGGGGCAGAGCGUAGUUAUUAGACCAAAACCAGCCGUAUUCUUCGGGGUACGCUCUUUUGGUGACUCUGGAUAACCUUCAGCCGAUCGCAUGGCCUCGUGCCGGCGACGUAUCUUUCAAGUGUCUGCCCUAUCAACUUUCGAUGGUACGUGAUAUGCCUACCAUGGUGAUAACGGGUAACGGGGAAUCAGGGUUCGAUUCCGGAGAGGGAGCCUGAGAAAUGGCUACCACAUCCAAGGAUGGCAGCAGGCGCGCAAAUUACCCACUCCCAGCUUGGGGAGGUAGUGACGAAAAAUAACAAUGCGGGACUCUAAGAGGCCCCGUAAUUGGAAUGAGUACACCUUAAAUCGUUUAACGAGUAUCAAUUGGAGGGCAAGUCUGGUGCCAGCAGCCGCGGUAAUUCCAGCUCCAAUAGCGUAUAUUAAAGUUGCUGCAGUUAAAAAGCUCGUAGUUGGAUCUGGGGCUUGAGGUCGCUGUCUAUCGUUUCGGCGAUGACGGUGAUGCUCAGCUCUGCUUGCCGGUGACUGUUGCGGUGUUCUUCACUGAGCGCUGUAGCAGCACGGCACGUUUACUUUGAAAAAAUUAGAGUGCUCAAAGCGUGCUUGUCGCUUGAAUAAUGUUGCAUGGAAUAAUGGAAUAGGACCUCGGUUCUAUUUUGUUGGUUUUCGGAGCUUGAGGUAAUGAUUAAGAGGGACGAACGGGGGCAUUCGUAUUGCGGUGUUAGAGGUGAAAUUCUUGGAUCGCCGCAAGACGGACUACUGCGAAAGCAUUUGCCAAGAACGCUUUCAUUAAUUAAGAACGAAAGUCAGAGGUUCGAAGACGAUCAGACACCGUCCUAGUUCUGACCAUAAACGAUGCCGACCAGCGAUCCGUAGUGGUUGCUUUAUGGACCCUACGGGCAGCCUCCGGGAAACCAAAGUAUUUGGGUUCCGGGGGAAGUAUGGUUGCAAAGCUGAAACUUAAAGGAAUUGACGGAAGGGCACACCAGGAGUGGAGCCUGCGGCUUAAUUUGACCCAACACGGGAAAACUCACCCGGUCCGGACACCGUAAGGAUUGACAGACUGAUAGCUCUUUCUUGAUUCGGUGGAUGGUGGUGCAUGGCCGUUCUUAGUUGGUGGAGUGAUUUGUCUGGUUAAUUCCGAUAACGAACGAGACUCUAGCCUGCUAAGUAGUGUUGCUAUU
rnacentral:rRNA from 1 species